UCAGAGGUGGUCUGUGCCAUGCUGUGAAUGGGUGUUCUUCCUGGGUUUGGUGACUCUAGUUGUGUCAAUGCAUCCUGUGCAACAAAGACAGCUCUUUCUUCAGUCCUGAGGCUGAAAGGUGUAGAUGUACUUGGAGAUUGAGAUUUGUUUCUGCAGGCACUCAUAAACUUUGAGCAACUGGCACGCAAGAACAGCUAUCAGAACUUAAAAACCCCUUUCAAGAAUUAUCCAAUAUGCAAAUUGAAGGUAUCUAUCUAUAAAUAAAUGAAUUGCGCUGGCGUAAAUUUUAAAAUUCUUAAAUAUCUAAGCACUAAUUAUGCAUUUCCGCAUGGCCUGAUGAAGUAAUGUUAUGUAAGAAGGAUACAAUUUAGCUUAAAACAAUUAAACCAAGCUUUAUAUGUGCGAAACACAUUACUCUGUGGGCAGGAAAUGCCAUUUUGCGCUAACUGUUUUGCUAGCGUUUGCUGACGGGUGAAGGGGUGUCGUUGCUUUGAAAUUCGUACUAAUCGCAAACAGAAAUAUGUGUCAGAGAUUUAGAACUUCGGCAUUUAUCCUGUAUCUAAUAUUGAUCAAAUUUGUCAAGAUUGCAUACCUUCUUUUUUCUGACCGAGGAGUGGCUAGAGGAUGUUUGGAUUCUCUAAGCCGAGAAACCUGCCAUUCAAAAACUAGUACACAUGAUUAGUAAUUGUUCGGUUGGAAAGCUACAUCAAGGAAACAGAACAUCAGGGAUUCAGGGCCAGAAAAUAGGCACCAUGGUCGGAGUCCUUAGAGGGGUUGAGCAAUCUUUGGAUGCUUUAGAAUUAGAACCAACUCUAGAAUUGUCAAUCUUCCGAAUAAUUGUUGACGUUAGUCUAUUAAUUUCCCUGACAGGAGUGAAAUUCAUCGACUUGUGAGUUGAUUUUGGAGUUAUUUUCUUUCUAUCCAUGGAAUCUGUUGCAGGCACUUUGUUGAUUGGGGUGGCAUUGUUUUCCUUUCUGGCGCGAAAUGGCGCAGCAGGUUUAGCUGGUGAACAUGGCAGCUUUGAUGGUCUACCAGUCAUCAAUGACUUUAAGGAAGAAACUGCAGGUUUCUUCCUGCUUAUUGACGCCGAGUUCUCUCCUUUUGAGAUGAAAUCCUGCAAAAUUGCUUUGUUAAACAUGAACAUGAAUAUGCAAAAUUGCUAAGUUCUUCAUGCUUAGUGUGAUUUUCUUUACUUUUGCACCAAAAAUGAACAUAUUUCUGUUACCUUUAACAAAGGUUUUUCCAUUAGUUUUGAUCCGCUAAGCUCGAUUUCUUUCACCUCUUCCAAAUUUUCAGCAACAUCAAACUGGCUUGGAGACUCAACCUUCACACCAUCUUCCUCAACAGCCCGACUUUCCGCAGUUAACGGAGCAACUCCUUCCUCCUUACAACUUUCAGAAUCUCCCAUUUCAAGAUCCAAGUCAUGUCCAUUAUCAUCAUCAUCAAAACCUGGUUCAGGUUCAUCAAGAUCCUGAUCAGAGUUUGCGGUCAGUUUAUCUAAAUCUUUGGUCUCACAAUCUUGAAAUUCACUUGAAUGUUCAUGGUCAGGCACUUUAUUUGCAUUUGCUUGCUCAAGCAAAGCUGCAGCCUUUCGUGCAGCAAGAUUCUUGUAAUGUGCUUCAAAGAAAGCUUUCUUCUGCGCAACCGACCCCGGGCGAGAGAAUCUUUCAGCUUCUUCAACAUACCUAUUAUGAGAGAAAGAUGACCAUUUUUCCCAGUCUAAAGAUUCUGAAGUAAACCUUCCAAAUGAUACUGACUGCCCAAAUGAAUGAACUGGGUUGCCCUGCCAUACAUUAAGUUUGAAAUUUCAUCAUUUUCUAAGUCAAAUGGCAAAAACAAAAGAACCCAUAAUCAAAUUCUGUGAACUAUUACCAGGGUUUGAAGUGAUUUGAUGGCUAGGAAGACAAAAAACAAAGACUUACUGACCUGAUCCGAGUGACUAGGAGGAACCGCAGCAUAAGAGAAUGGCUGUUGGUGCAUGAGACAAGUUGGUUCCCCCAUGAGCUAAACUUUUGUUUUGUUGACAAAAUUCUACAAAACAAAACUGUGAGCUUUUUUCUUUGUUCUAUCUGUAAUAUUCUACAGGUUAUGCAGAUGAUAACAAACAAGAAUUUGAAUUUAAA